UACAGAGGGUGCGAGCGUUGUUCGGAAUUAUUGGGCGUAAAGCGCAUGUAGGCGGUUUGUUAAGUCGCGUGUGAAAGCUCCAGGCUCAACCUGGAAAGUGCGCGCGAAACUGGCGAACUUGAGUGCCGGAGAGGGUGGCGGAACUCCCGGUGUAGAGGUGGAAAUUCGUAGAUAUCGGGAGGAACACCGAGAGGCGAAGGCGGCCACCUGGACGGACA
rnacentral:rRNA from 1 species